rnacentral:rRNA from 1 species
UACGGAGGGUGCGAGCGUUGUCCGGAAUCAUUGGGCGUAAAGGGCGCGUAGGUGGCCACUUCAAGCGUGCGGUGAAAGUCGGGGGCUCAACCCCUGAUCGGCCGUGCGAACUGGGGGGCUGGAGCACUGUAGAGGCAGGCGGAAUUCCGGGUGUAGCGGUGGAAUGCGUAGAGAGUCCGGAAGAACACCGGUGGCGAAGGCGGCCCGCUGGGCUGUUGCUGACGCUGAGGCGCGACAGCGUGGGGAGCAAACAGG